rnacentral:rRNA from 1 species
GAAAAGAACUUUGAAAAGAGAGUUAAACAGUACGUGAAAUUGUUGAAAGGGAAACGAUUGAAGCCAGUCGUACCAACGGAAAAUCAACUUCUCGGGUGCUUAUCAUGGGUGACGUUGAGCCUCACGGUCUUCGUCAUUUGUGUUUAUUGGUGCCUUUGUGGUGUACUUUUUCGUAUGGUUAGGUUAACAUCGAUUUUGAUCGUCAUAAAAUGAUCGGAGGAAUGUAGCUUCGAUUUAGAUCGAAGUGUUAUAGCCUUUGGUAGAUGUGACGAUUGUGAUCGAGGAUUGCAACGAAUACCCUUUGGACCAUUUGGGUUAUCCGUCUAGCCUUUGAAAGUCGCUUGGGUGUCGAAAGCGUGCUUAUGGCUAUCCAAGUUGGCGGUCAACAGGUUAGAACGUG